rnacentral:rRNA from 1 species
AUAGUGGCGAAAGGGUGAGUAACACGUGGGUAAUUUGCCCUGAGGUUCGGAAUAACACUUCGAAAGAGGUGCUAAUACUGGAUGUGUUCCGCUUUACACAAGUAUGGCGGGAGAAAGGCGGGGACCUGUUAAAGGGCCCGUCACCUUAGGAUGAGCCCGCGUCCUAUCAGCUUGUUGGUGAGGUAACGGCCCACCAAGGCAUUUGACGGGUAGCUGGUCUGAGAGGAUGGUCAGCCACACUGGGACUGAGACACUGCCCAGACUUCUACGGGAGGCUGCAGUCGAGAAUCUUUCGCAAUGGGGGAAACCCUGACGAAGCGACGCCGCGUGAGCGAUGAAGGCCUUCGGGUUGUAAAGCUCUGUCACGUGGGAAGAAAACUGGAGAUCUAACAGAUCGAAGGUUUGACUGUACCACGAGAGGAAGCCACGGCUAACUCCGUGCCAGCAGCCGCGGUAAUACGGAGGUGGCUAGCGUUGUUCGGAUUCAUUGGGUGUAAAGGGCAUGUAGGUGGCAAUGUAAGUCGGAUGUGAAAUCCCUUGGCUUAACCAAGGAACUGCAUCUGAUACUGCAUAGCUUGAGUGCAGGAGAGGAGAACGGAAUUCCCGGUGUAAGGGUGAAAUCUGUAGAGAUCGGGAGGAACACCAGUGGCGAAGGCGGUUCUCUGGACUGCAACUGACACUGAAAUGCGAAAGCUAGGGGAGCAAACAGAAUUAGAUACUCUGGUAGUCCUAGCC